rnacentral:rRNA from 1 species
AACGAACGCUGGCGGCAGGCUUAACACAUGCAAGUCGAGCGCAUCCUUCGGGGUGAGCGGCAGACGGGUGAGUAACGCGUGGGAAUCUACCUUUUGCUACGGAAUAGCUCCGGGAAACUGGAAUUAAUACCGUAUGUGCCCUUAGGGGGAAAGAUUUAUCGGCAAGAGAUGAGCCCGCGUUGGAUUAGCUAGUUGGUGGGGUAAAGGCCUACCAAGGCGACGAUCCAUAGCUGGUCUGAGAGGAUGAUCAGCCACAUUGGGACUGAGACACGGCCCAAACUCCUACGGGAGGCAGCAGUGGGGAAUAUUGGACAAUGGGCGCAAGCCUGAUCCAGCCAUGCCGCGUGAGUGAUGAAGGCCUUAGGGUUGUAAAGCUCUUUCACCGGAGAAGAUAAUGACGGUAUCCAGAGAAGAAGCCCCGGCUAACUUCGUG